rnacentral:rRNA from 1 species
GCGGCUUAUUUGACUCAACACGGGGAACUCACCAGGCCCGGACAUUGUUUGGACUGACAGAUUAAUAGCUCUUUCUCGAUUCAAUGGGUGGUGGUGCAUGGCCGUUCUUAGUUGGUGGAGCGAUCUGUCUGGUUGAUUCCGAUAACGAACGAGACUCUUACCUACUAACUAGAUGAGGGAGUAAUUCAUUUCCUUUGCGUCUCUGUCGGAUUCGGGCGUCGUCGGCGGGAUGGAAAGCCUCUCACGGGGCCGGUACUCUUUGUCGGCGCGUCUUUUUCGUUCGGAGCGCUUCGGAAAAACUCCCUCCGAUGUAAUGAUCUUCUUAGAGGGAUAGGCGACGCGCCAAGUCGCACGAGAGAACGAGCAAUAACAGGUCUGUGAUGCCCUUAGAUGUUCUGGGCCGCACGCGCGCCACAAUGGAUGUAUCAACGCGCUAAUAUUCAGUUAAUCCUUCUCCGAAAGGAGUGGGGAAUCGCUGAAACGCAUCCUCAGUUGGGAUUGGGGCUUGCAAUUGUUUCCCAUGAACCCGGAAUUCCCAGUAGACGCGAGUCACCAUCUCGCAUUGAUUAAGUCCCUGCCCUUUGUACACACCGCCCGUCGCUACUACCGAUGGGACGAUUCAGUGAGGUCGUCGGACUGGCGCCUUCGCGCCGUAACACGCGCUUAGGCUGACGGAAAGACGCCCGAACUCGAU